UUCUAUUUUUCUCACGAUUUGCUUGGCCGUAACUUCGCUGCCUUCCGUGAGUUCCUCGCUAUCUUGGAGGGAGUUUUCCUUCAUCCAGACCAAGCUCGGGUGGUCGUCUCUCAUCGCAGCCACGGUUCAUGAUGGGGUCCUCGGCUGGGGGUACAAGCCAGAGGAUUACAAGGUGUGCGGCCUACCAUCCGGCGCUCAGUACGCCCUCCAGUUCCCCAUCCUGACGAUCGCCCUGAAGCUGCCGCUGCUGAUUCCCGCCGUGGACGAGGCGCUUGCAGAAGAUCCGGCGCGGCCACGACCGAAGCGGGGGCGGCGAGGGGAGUCACAAGGCCAAGGAUCCCGAGAAGCCGGCGAAGAAGGCAGAUGGUUAGUUCCCCAGCGCCCUCCCUGCCGAACGAAUGCCUCCAGCAGAACUCACCGGGGAAGUCCCUCCUCAUCUUCACCUCAUGUAUGAGAACAUGACUUCAUCAUCACGAAGCACACAUGGCAGCGACUCCACACACCCUCACCAUACACACAGGAUCGCGGUUUCAGGGCAUCACUAAGCACAGGGAGCGUGUUGUUUAUGUGGCCAUACGAAAGGGGUCAUUGGUGUAAGGGUCGGAGUUCUUUAGGGUAUAAGGUCAUUCAGAGUCGUGACCUGGUGAAGUAAUGGGUCGUCGUGGCUCAUAAAAUAGAUUUUAAGAAAUAAGAGAGAUUAUAUAGGAAGAAAUAAAUAAUGUAUGUGAUAGAUUACAUUAUAUAUUAAUGCAUAAUAUUUAAUGAGUAUUUAUUUUCAUGUCAGAUAGAGUUCUCAACAUUACCUAGUAGUAUAUGAUAAAUGUUCAGUAGGGUCAUGAGGGUAAAAAUGAACGCAAACAAGGUCACAAAAAGGAAAAAGGGGAAGAACACUGCUUUAGGACAGGGAAUGUAAUGAAGCCCCAAGUGUGAGCACGACCUUCCCCAGCGCAGACGGACGUGACUGCAGCGUCGAGGAAGACACGGAACAUGCAUGACAAGGUCGUCCCUGCGUUAUUGCGACCUCUGUCCACGCCCUAGGAACCCCAGCCUCACUAAAGUUGCAGGAAGUAAUUCGUCACAGAUGCGGAAGCGUGACUUAGGUCUCAUCAUGCGCAUGGGAGCAUGACGCUGGCCGAGGGACGUGCGUCGAGCGUGGACCAGCAGAUUCCGCCUCGCGCAGAGCAUCGUGGAUUCGGCUUCAGCACGAGACGAAACAUACGAUUCAAGUCCAUAAACAGGAAAAAGAGGAUCGAAAUGUGUAUCCCAGUUCACUUGAUAUAGUGAUAAUGAUCGGCCACCGCACGCGAGUCAUUAAUUUUGGCCUUCGCAGACACUAUACAAGAACACGCGAAAUUAACUUAAUUAUGCAUAAUGAGACGUCAAUAGUUUCACCACAGAAAGUUUCAUGAAUUUGGCCAAAGGUUCGCCAAUUGGAGGACUAAGCUAUCAGCACUUAAUACAUAUCAUUAGGCUAAGAGGAACUACGUUAUACACCCUUGCCAGGUAAGCUUUAAAGCAAGAUGCAUUUGAACAAGGCUAUCCUCGGUUUCUUGACGUGACAGUCACAUUUAAAAGUAUUAUUUUGGUGAGUAAAAACGAAAAUAAUGGAAGCCUGAUGCACAGAUAAGUAGCAACGUUAUUUUUGUUUCAUCUGCAAAAUUUCCUUUUUUCUCUCUGUCUUUGUCACUAUCGGUAUGUCUGUCUUUCUGUUUGAC